GGCCCCAUCACGGCUCCUCGGCCAUUGCUGUGACUGGGAUCCAGUCCUCGGCUGUGCCAGUGCGUGGUGCAGACAAAUUGGGGCUGGAGCUGGUCAGGCAGUAGGAGGGCGGUAAACGGGGACAGGUGAGGACAGCGUGCAGACUGCAGAGUGCGGGGCAGGAUGUGGCCUCGGGCAAGGCAGAGCUGCUGGGAGUGCUUUCUUUUUGGAGGGGUCUGGAGGGACCAGGGCCGGCAAGUGGGAGUCACCCAAGCACACUGUGCCUCCCAUCGAUGUUUACUGAGCAACUGCCUUGCCUUGUACACCGUGCUGGCCAUUCACAUCAAAUCCUCCCAACCACCCUGCUCUCCAGGUGAGGAAACCCAGGUUCAGAGAGGCUAAGCCACUUUCUGCAGGUCACACAGCUUACUCUGUGGGAGAACCAGGAAUCAGAAGCAAGCACUCCAGUCAGGCUAUUCCUGGGGUGAAAUACAGGAGCCCAUGGGCUGGUUGGGGUCACACCCACCUGGGGAACCUGGGAACUGGAGGCCAGUCUUUGGGCAGGCUGGCCUGUACCCCCAACCCUCCAGCAGACCCAGAGAAAGGCCUCGCUCACGGGGCCCUUCUGCCUCACGGGGGCAGCUCCUUGGGCUCCGGAGCCGUCCUGGUUGGGUUCAUUCUUUCAUUCUCCAGAGGUCACCAGCUCUGCCAGCUCAUGAAGUGGAGCUGGGGGACACUGCGAUAAUCUAAUUGCCACCCAGUGGGGGAUCCCUCUCUGGGUCUGUCCCCUGCAGAGUCCUCCACUUCGGACUCACUCUGGGCCUCUCUAGGGCCUGACCUUGAAUCUCCCCUUGGCCUGGGUAGCUUCUUCCUGAGCUUUGGAGUCGCUCUCACUCCAGCUACCCCUGAACCUCAGCAUAAUGUCCUUUCCUAGUGUGGCGCUGGAAUUCACUGGCUCCUCAUGCACUCAGAGGUGCCUUGUCCCUGGCCCAAAGGGGACAAGGGCCCUAGAUUUGGAACUAUGAUAACAAAGCAAUCACCACAAAGUUUCAGGCAAAUGUGCAGGGUACAGGAGAGGAGAAGGAGGAGGAAGAGGAUGAGAGAGGAAGGAAGGGAACAAGAGAGAGAGCCCAGAAGCCUGCUCCUUCCAAAUCUCGCUCCCUGGACAAGGCUGUGCCAGACAAAUGGGCAAAAUAGCACGGAGGUACGUAAUGACUCAGAGUUAUUUCAAAGCGAUUAUCUGGGAUAACAGUAAUUAUGUCCAAGAACAGAGAAGGUCAAACUGGCUGGUCCCACUGCUCGACUCCAGUGUGGCUCUUGCCAAGAGAAAGUCGCUGUGUUUGGAAGGCACAGCAGAGGGAGGGAGAGAGCGAGGGCCAGGAGGUGGGCGGCUGGAGGAGGAAGAGGAGGGAAAGCAGGACAGAGCUCAGCCCGGGGCUGGGGCCUCGGUGUGGGAUUAACCAGCGGUUCACCUUGGAACGCCAGCUGGGCUGAGUCAGCGUGGUUCCGGGCCCACCGAGGAUCGUUGCCAACAGCACCAAGGGAGAACUGCAGGUUCCCCCGCAGAAGCUUGUCGCGCUGGCUUUCCUGAUAACUUGUCCCCCGCUGUCCUGCCAGGAUGGCUGCUGUCUCUUGGGGGAGCUCUGGUCUUUGCCUUGAGUGUCAUUUCCCGGCUCCAGUGCAGAUCCCUCCGCUCCCUGGCACAGAUCCUUCACCCCGCCAGUGCAGACCUUCUGGCUUCCACCACUGGCCUUCGGGCCUUCCCGGAGCAGAUCCUUGACACGGACUUGGACGGGCCGUUGCCGUGGGAUCCAGUGCUGCUUCUGGAGUCUUCCUGUCUCUAGCAUGCAGACAGAUCUCAUGCACUCUUCUGCCUUUGAACUUUUGGGUGAAUGUUACGAAAUAACCCUAUACAUUAUGUGUCCUGUAUGAAAUGCAUUUUCCUGCGAACGCUGACCGUAGCAGCGUCUAAGGAAGGUGCCAAGUGUUCAGCUCCUGUGUUGCCUGUUGGGCCCUGGUGGCGUAUUGCACACUGUGCGAGGGCUUCUUUAGCGCGUGCUGCUUGGCAUGUGUGUCUCUGAGUGGGCGCGGGCUCGCUCUGGUCUUCCCCUUCAUCUCCUCUCCCUCAGGUCCCUUCUCACUGCCAUCCCGUGCCCACGACGUGCUUCUCCCUCCAGGCACCCUCAUCCACCCGCCUGGGUCCCCUCUGCUCUCUCAGGUCCCCCCCCCGUCACCCCCUGCCCAUUCUCUUCCUGUCUGUGCCCGCUUGUCUGUCACCCGCCUUUCCAUGUCUUUAACCUUCUUUUGUCUGCUCGGUCCCUCUGUAUCGCUCCUUGGCUUUCCUCUUCCUAAGCUUUCCUUUUUCUCCUGAGGUGCCCGUACCCUUCCACCCUCUCCCCAUCCAUCCAUCCAUCCUCAUGUCCACCCCAUCAUUCACGAUACAGCCUCCCGCCCCCACCCAUCCAUCUAUAACACUUCCAUCCUUCCAUUCCCGUCUCCUUAUCCUCCCACCCACCACCUAUCCAUCCACCCAUCACCCUUCUGACCACCCAUCUGCUCAUCAGGACAUCACCCUUCCAUUCUUUGGCCCACCCACCCACUGCUCUCCCGUCCCUCCGCCAUCCGACCCCUGUUCUGUCCAUCCGCUGCCCCACCCCCGCCCCAGUCUCUCCUGUCCUCCACCAACCGUUAGCCCACUCAGUGCUCUCUGCCAGGCCCCUCAUUUCCCACGUUGUUAGUCUGUUUAUGCGCUCCUUCAGGCCUCUUACGUCCUCCUCCCGAACUUGUAACUGUUGAAAUCAUACCCUUCCUGGAGGUUUAUUUUAGGAUCUCUAUUUCAAGCAAGUGUCAUGCACUAGGAAACGUGUGAGUCUGCAGCCUGAGAGAUGAACACUGCGAUCCGGACGGAGCCGUUCACUGGCUGCCCAAACCUCGGUUUCCUCUGUGUAACAGGGAUUCACAAUACCUGCUUCGUACAGUAGUCAAAGAUUGUACACAAAGCGCUCCAGGCAUAGCAGCACCCGGGGAGGGGGCUCCACAAACCUUAAACUCCACCGAAGAGGAAACAGAAUUUAUGAAAGAGUUUCCAGCACUCUGAAGCCCUGUGGAUGGGAUGGCUGCCUGGGACAGACACGCUUCCCGAGGCUGACAUCUACUUUUGUCUAUGGCUGUACCGAGUCUCCACUCUUCCCGCUGACACGUCCUCCAGAGGUACUUUGCUCUCGGGUUUUCACCAGCCUCCCAGAGAUCUUGAAGCCAUGCUGUUUGAUUUGUGCCUGGGUCCUUUAUUGUAAUGCCACAUGCUAACAGCCGCAAAUGCUCUGGGAUAAUAAUCAAGAUGGGACCUGGUUGGUAACAUCUGCCAACUUCUGUGGUGUAAAUGCCCCCACCACGGCUGAUUUCAAGUUACCAAAAUGAUGUCAUGAAGCAUGGGACUGGAAGAGGUUCUCCAUGGACACUGUCCUGGGUGACGACUUUCAUCCUGCAAACCCCACAGACAGACAACCUCCAGAGCACAGACCGGGGUGAAAUAGAGCAGAUAAUCAGGAGGUGAUGAAUUUUAUGUAUCUUAUUGUCUUUGUUGUUAAUGCAAUCUAUUUAACAGUGAGCUUAGAUAAUUUGAUUUUUAAUAAUGGCUACAUUUAACUAUCAGCUCACAAAAUUCCUUAUGGUUUAACCCUAUGAUUCUCAUGAGCUCCAUGAACAGCUGCAGCACACGGAUAAAUUUAUUUCCAAUGGACUUAUUUCCUUUUCUUUUAUUUUUUUGGAGACAGCGUCUUGCUAAGCAGUUCAGGGAGGCCUUGAGCUCACCUUGUAGCCCAGGCUGGUCUUGAACUCACAGUGAUCUUCCUGCCUCAGCCUCCUGAGUGCUGGGAUUACAGGCAUGCACCCCUACGGCUGGCUACAAUGGAUUUAUUGUCUCCCAGAACUCUCAACUUCAGGGCUGUGGGAAAAGCAUCAUGCAGAAACAGGAGCUGGAGAGAUGGAGAAAGCCAUGUUGAGUUUGACCUUUCUGGGUAUUCUCCAAGGCGAGUAAUCUACAGGGCAGGCCUGGGAAAUGUGAUGUUUCUGGGUCAUUCGUGUGAGAAGGGACCUUUCUGACCUGAGUUCAACUUUAGCAUUCAUUUGGUAAUGAUGUGACCCUGACCAACUACUCAGCCUCUCUGAGCCUCUUGGGAAAAUUAAGUCAUUUAUUAAUGUAACCAGUACUUGUCGAGCUCCUGACAUAUGCCCGACAUUAGAGACAGAGAAGUAAAUAGAGAAAUCAAGAAACUGCUUUUUGCAUAUAGCUUAUAUUCUUACUGGAUGAAAUAUUCAGUUAUUUGUCACACAGUAGGAGCUUUUCAAUUAUGCUUGUUACUCACUGUGUGGAUAUCGUUGCCCCUACUCACAGAGACUGGAUGGAUGACAGAGCUAGGGUUCUGGUCUUUUUUCAAGUUAAGGACAUAUUGCUAUGAAAUUUUCUUGUUCAUAAUGGUUUAGAAUUUGUAGUUUUAAAAGUAGAAACAGACUCCCUCUCCUAGUAUGGUAUAUUUUACCUGGUGUCUUAGUUACUUUUCUCAUUGUUGAGAUGAAAUACCCAACACCCAAAAGUUAAGGGAAGAAAUGUUUGUUUAGCUCAGAGUUUGUAGAGGUUUCAGUCCUCGCUGGCUGAUUCCAAGGUAGGGUGGCGUGGCAGAGGGGCGUUGCAGAGGAGAAACAGUUCAUGGGAGACAGAAAGCAGCCAAAGCAAGCAAACUAGGGAUUUUAACAGCAUCUUCCUGCCUCUUUUGUCUUAUCCAGGCUACUCAAGGAGGGUAACACUCACACCCUUAAUCCUAGUGUGCAGGAGCCUAAGAUAACACCAUGAAUCAGUUCCAGCAUUAAGCACCCUAGAUCCACUCAUCUCUGAAAAAGCCCGGGCUCUAAGCACAUGAGGCUUUGAGGGACCAUCUAAGCAAAGCCAAAACACCUGGAUCAUAUUUCAUUAAUUAUCUAUCUAUCUAUCUACCUAUCCAUCCAUCCAUCCAUUCACUAGGAGGAAUAUAUCUUCAAUUCUACUGUUUGCUUUAUAGGUAGCUCUUUAGUAUAAUUUUUGGCCUUUCUGAAUUCUGUCCUGCGUGGUGUGUGUGUGUGUGUGUGUGUGUGCGCGCGCGCGUGCGUGUGUGAAGUGAGCUAUUUGACAGGUGAAUGUGGCUCCUGCAGCUUAGUUCUUCCCUUGCUUUUCUGGAGCUAAUCCACGGGAGGGGCCCUUGGACCCCCAUAUUCCACCAUCCUCACCCCUCAUGGUAACCACUAACCACAGGUAGCUCCUAGCACUUGCAGAGUGGUUAAUUUGAAUGGAGAUGUGCCAUUAGUGUAAAAUCUGAAUUUUAAGACCAUAUGAAAAAAUAAUGUAAAGUACCUCAUAAAUGAUUUUUAUAUUGAUUAUGUGUUAACAUAAUAAUGUUUUGUAGAUACCAGGCUAAAUAAAAUAUAUUAUUAAAAUUGA